UACGUAGGGUGCAAGCGUUAAUCGGAAUUACUGCGCGUAAAGCGUGCGCAGGCGGUUGUGUAAGACAGAUGUGAAAUCCCCGGGCUCAACCUGGGAACUGCAUUUGUGACUGCACAGCUGGAGUGCGGCAGAGGGGGAUGGAAUUCCGCGCGUAGCAGUGAAAUGCGUAGAUAUGCGGAGGAACACCGAUGGCGAAGGCAAUCCCCUGGGCCUGCACUGACGCUCAUGCACGAAAGCGUGGGGAGCAAACAGG
rnacentral:rRNA from 1 species